rnacentral:rRNA from 1 species
AGUGAACGCUGGCGGCAGGCCUAACACAUGCAAGUCGAGCGGCAGCGCGGGGGCAACCCUGGCGGCGAGCGGCGGACGGGUGAGGAAUGCGUCGGAAUCUGCCUCUUUGUGGGGGAUAACGUAGGGAAACUUACGCUAAUACCGCAUACGACCUACGGGUGAAAGUGGGGGACCUUCGGGCCUCACGCAGAGAGAUGAGCCGAUGCCGGAUUAGCUAGUUGGCGGGGUAAAGGCCCACCAAGGCGACGAUCCGUAGCUGGUCUGAGAGGAUGAUCAGCCACACUGGAACUGAGACACGGUCCAGACUCCUACGGGAGGCAGCAGUGGGGAAUAUUGGACAAUGGGCGCAAGCCUGAUCCAGCCAUGCCGCGUGUGUGAAGAAGGCCUUCGGGUUGUAAAGCACUUUUGUCCGGAAAGAAAAGCUUCCGAUUAAUACUCGGGAGUCAUGACGGUACCGGAAGAAUAAGCACCGGCUAACUUCGUGCCAGCAGCCGCAGUAAGAC